UACGUAGGUGGCAAGCGUUGUCCGGAUUUACUGGGCGUAAAGAGCGCGCAGGCGGUCGAAUAAGUCGAAUGUGAAAGCCCCCGGCUUAACUGGGGAGGGUCAUUCGAUACUGCUCGACUUGAAGGCAGGAGAGGGUAGUGGAAUUCCCGGUGUAGUGGUGAAAUGCGUAGAUAUCGGGAGGAACACCAGUGGCGAAGGCGACUACCUGGCCUGUUCUUGACGCUGAGGCGCGAAAGCGUGGGGAGCGAACAGG
rnacentral:rRNA from 1 species